rnacentral:rRNA from 1 species
CAAGUCGUGGGGCAGCAUGACUGUAGCAAUACAGUUGAUGGCGACCGGCAAACGGGUGCGGAACACGUACACAACCUUCCUUUGAGUGGGGAAUAGCCCGGGGAAACCCGGAUUAAUACCCCGUAACAUAAUGAAGUGGCAUCACUUUAUUAUUAUAGCAGCAAUGCGCUUUAAGAUGGGUGUGCGACUGAUUAGGCAGUUGGCGGGGUAACGGCCCACCAAACCUACGAUCAGUAACUGGUGUGAGAGCACGACCAGUCACACGGGCACUGAGACACGGGCCCGACUCCUACGGGAGGCAGCAGUAAGGAAUAUUGGUCAAUGGACGCAAGUCUGAACCAGCCAUGCCGCGUGGAGGAUGAAGGUCCUCUGGAUUGUAAACUUCUUUUAUCUGGGAAGAAAUCCACGAAUUCUUUUGUGGUUGACGGUACCAGAUGAAUAAGCACCGGCUAACUCCGUGCCAGCAGCCGCGGUAAUACGGAGGGUGCAAGCGUUAUCCGGAUUCACUGGGUUUAAAGGGUGCGUAGGUGGGUUGGUAAGUCAGUGGUGAAAUCUCCAGGCUUAACUUGGAAACUGCCAUUGAUACUAUCAAUCUUGAAUACCGUGGAGGUCAGCGGAAUAUGUCAUGUAGCGGUGAAAUGCUUAGAUAUGACAUAGAACACCAAUUGCGAAGGCAGCUGGCUACACGAAUAUUGACACUGAUGCACGAAAGCGUGGGGAUCAAACAGGAUUAGAUACCCUGGUAGUCCACGCCCUAAACGAUGGAUACUCGACAUACGCGAUAUACUGUGUGUGUCUGA